rnacentral:rRNA from 1 species
UAAAGUGGCGACCGGGUGAGUAACACGUGACUAACCUACCUUCAAGUGGGGGAUAACCUCGGGAAACCGGGGCUAAUACCGCAUAACAUCCUUAGAGUGGAAACUCCGGGGAUCAAAGGAGCAAUUCGCUGGAAGAGGGGGUCGCGGCUGAUUAGCUAGUUGGCGGGGUAAUGGCCCACCAAGGCAGAGAUCGGUAGCCGGCCUGAGAGGGCGCACGGCCACACUGGAACUGAAACACGGUCCAG